AUGUCAGCAUUAACUGCAGACGUGUCACUCCCUCAAUCUCAGCCAGCUGUUCUUCCUGUUCCGGCUUUGCCACAAAAUGCGCGACCAUUUAGGUGGAGUGAAAGCUCCAGCUCCAGCUCAAGAGCUGGUAGCUCAUCCGGUCCUGUAGAUUUGGCUGAGGGUGAGGAGGUAGGCUCAAGAAGUAGCAUUAGACCACAUUUAUGGGAACAUCCUAUGUUUGUACCUGCCACAGAGUUGAGAACUUCUGCUAGGAAUCCAAC
rnacentral:lncRNA from 1 species